AAAAAUAUUUCAGCAUAUGUUUUGAAUCUCAACAUCAGCAGAUUAUGUUUUUAUUUCAUUAAAAGUUGUGUCUUUCUUUUUAUUUUAUUUUUAAUUUUUAAAUUAGUAAUCUAUUCAUUUGGUUAUAUUUAACAACCGAAGAAUUAAAUUAUCAUAUUUUACUAUAAAAGCACUUGUUAAUCAGAUUUUACCAUACACCUAACUUAUAUGUAGC
rnacentral:lncRNA from 1 species